CUUUAAACGAAGCUCCCCCCUCGCCGGGGCAGGGCACAGUGCUGCGUGCUGGACCCUCGUCCUGGGCUUCCCGCUCUAGAGAAGCCUGAGCGUGGCUGGGCAGUGGCUGGAGCUGAGGUGUUACUCUCUGAGUGCUGCCAGCAGCGGUAAGUUUCAGAGCCACAGAAACGCCCUUGCACUGAUACCGAUGAGAGCAGAUGCAGAGCCCUGUAACCACCUUCUGUGUCUCUGCUAGAGGACUGGGAGUGCAGGGGGGACGUGUCUUGUAUUGCCAUUGCUGACUCCACGUCAUCUUCCCUGUGCAGAGGCCUCGGCUCCUGGGUCAGAGGUUCUGUGAAGUUAAUUAAGGAAUUCCUGUAUUCUAAUCCCCACCUCGGAAACACGCCGAGCCUGACUAACAUUUCUGGAGAGGCAAGAUGCAAAACUGGAAGUAAACAGGAUCUCGGUGGAACAAUACAUUUAUCUGAAAGAGUUUGAUUCUUAUCCUCUGAUUGGAACUAUUAUCAAGAUGCUAAAGUGCAUAUUCCUCAGCAAAAAUCCAUAAUUUCCAAAUAUAAGUGUCUGCUGUUAAUGCCAAUAAAUAGAUCCCAUAGCUA